CUUUUUCUUUGGAGGAAAGUGACUCUAUUUUCCUCCUUUCUAUCAGGACAUUUCAAACAGUGGGAGAAUGAAAGCAGCUUCCACGAACCCAAAAAUCCUUCCAGAAAAUGAAGAAUGAUAUAAGGAAGUACAUCUGGUGUUUGGGUGAAAGAUAAGAUGUGCCCCUGGUGUUGUGAACUCAAACAGACUGUUACUGCUGGAUGGCAGCCUUACCUGGUUUCCAGUUUACCCUAAUUGUUUCUUAUUGGUUUCACCUGUGUUUGAUUGCCCUCUCUGUUCACCUGAUUGCCUGGCUAUUUAGGUUCCUCUGUUGGCCUGGAUCCUUGCUUAUGUCUUAUGUUUUGUUUAGUGCACUCUUGUGCUAUUGCCUUGUUUCUGUCAAUACUUUAAGUAAAGAUCUGGA